rnacentral:rRNA from 1 species
AUUGAACGCUGGCGGAAUGCUUUACCCAUGCAAGUCGAGCGGCAGCGCGGGGCAACCUGGCGGCGAGAGGCGAACGGGUGAGUAAUGUAUCGGAACGUGUCCUGUCGUGGGGGAUAGCCCGGUGAAAACCGGAUUAAUACCGCAUACGAUAGCGAGAUGAAAGUGGGGGCCCGCAAGGCCUCCCCCGAUAGGACCGGCCGAUAUCUGAUUAGCUAGUUGGUGGGGUAAAAGCCCACCAAGGCUUCGAUCAGUAGCUGGUCUGAGAGGAUGAUCAGCCACACUGGGACUGAGACACGGCCCAGACUCCUACGGGAGGCAGCAGUGGGGAAUUUUGGACAAUGGGGGCAACCCUGAUCCAGCUAUUCCGCGUGAGUGAAGAAGGCCUUCGGGUUGUAAAGCUCUUUUGUCCGGGAAGAAACGGUUUUGGCUAAUAACCAAGACUACUGACGGUACUGGAAGAAUAAGGACCGGCUAACUACGUGCCAGCCGCCGCGGUAA